rnacentral:rRNA from 1 species
ACUCAAAUGAAUUGACGGGGGACCGCACAAGCAGCGGAGCGUGUGGUUUAAUUCGAGGCUACACGAAGAACCUUACCUAGGUUUGACAUCGUAACGAAGUCGCCAUGAAAGUGGUGAUGUCCCGCAAGGGACGUUAUGACAGGUGCUGCAUGGCUGUCGUCAGCUCGUGCCGUGAGGUGUUCGGUUAAGUCCGCAAACGAGCGCAACCCUCGGUGCCAGUUACAAGUGUCUGGCGCGACUGCCCGUGGCAAACGGGAGGAAGGUGGGGAUGACGUCAAGUCAGCAUGGCCUUUAUAUCUAGGGCUACACACACGCUACAAUGGCGCGUACAAUGGGUCGCGAACCCGCGAGGGGGAGCCAAUCCUAAAAAGCGCGUCUCAGUUCAGAUCGUAGGCUGCAACCCGCCUGCGUGAAGUUGGAGUUGCUAGUAACCGCGCGUCAGCAGAGUGCGGUGAAUACGUUCCCGGUCCUUGCACACACCGCCCGU